rnacentral:piRNA from 1 species
UGUCAUCAGUGGCCACACAAUUCAAAUA